rnacentral:rRNA from 1 species
UUAGAGUUUGAUCCUGGCUCAGGAUGAACGCUAGCUACAGGCUUAACACAUGCAAGUCGAGGGGAAACGACAUCGAAAGCUUGCUUUUGAUGGGCGUCGACCGGCGCACGGGUGAGUAACGCGUAUCCAACCUGCCCAUCACUUGGGGAUAACCUUGCGAAAGUAAGACUAAUACCCAAUGAUAUCUCUAGAAGACAUCUGAAGGAGAUUAAAGAUUCAUCGGUGAUGGAUGGGGAUGCGUCUGAUUAGCUUGCUGGCGGGGUAACGGCCCACCAAGGCGACGAUCAGUAGGGGUUCUGAGAGGAAGGUCCCCCACAUUGGAACUGAGACACGGUCCAAACUCCUACGGGAGGCAGCAGUGAGGAAUAUUGGUCAAUGGGCGAGAGCCUGAACCAGCCAAGUAGGGUGCAGGAUGACGGCCCUAUGGGUUGUAAACUGCUUUUAUAAGGGAAUAAAGUGAGCCUCGUGAGGCUUUUUGUAUGUACCCUAUGAAUAAGCAUCGGCUAACUCCGUGCCAGCAGCCGCGGUAAUACGGAGGAUGCGAGCGUUAUCCGGAUUUAUUGGGUUUAAAGGGUGCGUAGGUUGUUUUUUAAGUCAGCGGUGAAAGUUUGUGGCUUAACCAUAAAAUUGCCGUUGAAACUGGGGAACUUGAGUGUGUUUGAGAUAGGCGGAAUGCGUGGUGUAGCGGUGAAAUGCAUAGAUAUCACGCAGAACUCCAAUUGCGAAGGCAGCUUACUAAACCAUAACUGACACUGAAGCACGAAAGCGUGGGGAUCAAACAGGAUUAGAUACCCUGGUAGUCCACGCAGUAAACGAUGAUUACUAGGAGUUUGCGAUAGACAGUAAGCUCUACAGCGAAAGCGUUAAGUAAUCCACCUGGGGAGUACGCCGGCAACGGUGAAACUCAAAGGAACUGACGGGGGCCCGCACAAGCGGAGGAACAUGUGGUUUAAUUCGAUGAUACGCGAGGAACCUUACCCGGGUUUGAACGUAGUUUGACAGGGGUGGAAACACUUUUUCUAGCAAUAGCAAAUUACGAGGUGCUGCAUGGUUGUCGUCAGCUCGUGCCGUGAGGUGUCGGCUUAAGUGCCAUAACGAGCGCAACCCUUAUCACUAGUUACUAACAGGUAUAGCUGAGGACUCUGGUGAGACUGCCAGCGUAAGCUGUGAGGAAGGUGGGGAUGACGUCAAAUCAGCACGGCCCUUACAUCCGGGGCGACACACGUGUUACAAUGGCAUGGACAAAGGGCAGCUACCUGGCGACAGGAUGCUAAUCUCCAAACCAUGUCUCAGUUCGGAUCGGAGUCUGCAACUCGACUCCGUGAAGCUGGAUUCGCUAGUAAUCGCGCAUCAGCCAUGGCGCGGUGAAUACGUUCCCGGGCCUUGCACACACCGCCCGUCAA